rnacentral:rRNA from 1 species
AGAGUUUGAUCAUGGCUCAGGACGAACGCUGGCGGCGUGCUUAACACAUGCAAGUCGAACGGUGAACCUGCUUCGGUGGGGGAUCAGUGGCGAACGGGUGAGUAACACGUGGGCAACCUGCCCUCAGCUCUGGGAUAACUCCAAGAAAUUGGGGCUAAUACUGGAUAUGACCGCUGACCGCAUGGUCUGGUGGUGGAAAGAUUUAUCGGCUGGGGAUGGGCCCGCGGCCUAUCAGCUUGUUGGUGGGGUAGUGGCCUACCAAGGCGACGACGGGUAGCCGGCCUGAGAGGGUGACCGGCCACACUGGGACUGAGACACGGCCCAGACUCCUACGGGAGGCAGCAGUGGGGAAUAUUGCGCAAUGGGCGAAAGCCUGACGCAGCGACGCCGCGUGGGGGAUGACGGCCUUCGGGUUGUAAACCUCUUUCAGCAGGGACGAAGCGAAAGUGACGGUACCUGCAGAAGAAGCACCGGCCAACUACGUGCCAGCAGCCGCGGUAAUACGUAGGGUGCAAGCGUUGUCCGGAAUUAUUGGGCGUAAAGAGCUCGUAGGCGGUUUGUUGCGUCGGCUGUGAAAACCUGAGGCUCAACCUCAGGCCUGCAGUCGAUACGAGCAGACUAGAGUGUUGCAGGGGAGACUGGAAUUCCUGGUGUAGCGGUGAAAUGCGCAGAUAUCAGGAGGAACACCAGUGGCGAAGGCGGGUCUCUGGGCAACAACUGACGCUGAGGAGCGAAAGCGUGGGGAGCGAACAGGAUUAGAUACCCUAGUAGUCC